rnacentral:rRNA from 1 species
AGUGAACGCUGGCGGUAGGCCUAACACAUGCAAGUCGAACGGCAGCACAGUAAGAGCUUGCUCUUACGGGUGGCGAGUGGCGGACGGGUGAGGAAUACAUCGGAAUCUACUUUUUCGUGGGGGAUAACGUAGGGAAACUUACGCUAAUACCGCAUACGACCUACGGGUGAAAGCAGGGGAUCUUCGGACCUUGCGCGAUUGAAUGGGCCGAUGUCGGAUUAGCUAGUUGGCGGGGUAAAGGCCCACCAAGGCGACGAUCCGUAGCUGGUCUGAGAGGAUGAUCAGCCACACUGGAACUGAGACACGGUCCAGACUCCUACGGGAGGCAGCGGUGGGGAAUAUUGGACAAUGGGCGCAAGCCUGAUCCAGCCAUACCGCGUGGGUGAAGAAGGCCUUCGGGUUGUAAAGCCCUUUUGUUGGGAAAGAAAAGCAGCAGGUUAAUACCCCGCUGUUCUGACGGUACCCAAAGAAUAAGCACCGGCUAACUUCGUG